rnacentral:rRNA from 1 species
CGUAGGAGACGAGCGUUAUCCGGAUUUACUGGGCGUAAAGCGUGUGCAGGCGGUUCGGCAAGUUGGAUGUGAAAUCUCCCGGCUCAACUGGGAGGGGUCGUUCAAAACUACCGAACUUGAGGUCAUCAGGGGAAGGUGGAAUUCCGGGUGUAGUGGUGAAAUGCGUAGAUAUCCGGAGGAACACCAGUGGCGAAGGCGGCCUUCUGGGAUGAUCCUGACGCUCAGACACGAAAGCUAGGGGAGCGAACGGGAUUAGAGACCCCGGUAGUCCUAGCUGUAAACGAUGUAGACUUGGCGUCGGAGGGUUCAAAACCUUCGGUGUCGUAGCUAACGCGAUAAGUCUACCGCCUGGGGACUACGGCCGCAAGGUUA